UUUCUGACUCAUUCUUCUUCAUUUUUUUAUUUAUUUAUUUUUUUUUUUUCUUCUUCUAAUUGAGAAAAUUCUAAGUCUUCCCUCAUCACAAUCCAGGUAUCCCAAUUCCUGGAAUUAAUGUCAAGGAAAUGGAAAUUUCAUCACCUCUCCUCACCUAUUGACAUGUUGAACACACCCACUGCAGCACUGCUUCAGAAUUAAGCUCCAUUGAAUUGAACUCCCAAGGUAGCAUUACCAUAAAACACUGCCCUCUCAAGAUGAGUCCCACCUUGUCC
rnacentral:lncRNA from 1 species